CUGGUCAUAAAAAAACACCAAGUAAGCUGCCCCCAAUUCCUCUGUAGUAGGCACAAGAGAGAAAUAGGAGAAAAACGAGACCUUAAAACCUGGCCAAUCCCUCCCUCUCUUCUUCCCUCCCCAUAUAUUGUAGACUAGAUAUGAUCGUGAAGUUGGCACCAGAAUUCGUCAGAGAUCUUCCUCUCGAGCAAGCACAUAUCCUUCAUCUUCACUAUGAACUUCUCCCCGCUCUCAUCCACUAUCGUCGUCUUCGUCUCUGCGCUAAUUCUUGGCCGAUCAAUAUCUACAACAGCAACCCCGCCGUUGCGAGGAGGGUGAGCAACUGGGCACUGGAUUUGAGGUAUGCAAUGACGAUCAUGAUGGAACAGUAGAGUCUUCUUCAGACAUGAGAUUAUACGUUUCAGUCGUUUCUUUGAUCUGGAAGAAGAUGCUGUCACCAUUGAUGACCUCUUCAAUUUAGCUUCCUUCUUCAACGAACAACACAUGAGCUUAAUU
rnacentral:lncRNA from 1 species